CUUAAAUUAGAGGGACAAAGGUUUAAAAAUAAUAUCAGGAAGUAUUACUUUACUGCGAGGGUAGUGGAUGCAUGGAAUUGCCUUCCAGCUGAAGUGGUAGAGGUUAACACAGUAAAGGAGUUUAAGCAUGCGUGGGAUAAGCAUAAGGCUAUCCUAACUAUAAGAUAAGGCCACGGACUAAUGAAAGUAUUUAGAAAAUUGGGCAGACUAGAUGGGCCGAAUGGUUCUUAUCUGCCGUCACAUUCUAUGUUUUUAUGUUUAAAAUAUGAACAACUAGAUAUAACAAUGGUCUAGAUCAGGGAUAGGCAACCUUUGACACUCCAGAUGUUUUGGAUUACAUCCCCCAUAAUGCUCUUACACCCAUAAUGCUUGCAAAGAAUCAUGGGAAGUGUAGUCCAAAACAUCUGGAGUGUCGAAGGUUGCCUACGCCUGGAUUUAGAUAGAUAAGAAACGUCAAGGUGGAAAAGAAAUCGCUCUAAAGUUAAAGAAAUGUCAAUUUUUUAACUUUCAAUUUCAGAUGAGUUAGUUUAAGACAAGCCCACCAAAUAUGCUUUAGUGAGCCAACAUUUCUAUUACAUCUCCAACAAAGAUUAGAGGUAUUUGGUUAACAUUUACAUAACUUUAUAGGCACCAUAUGCCAUCUGUGUAUAAUUUUAAAAAAGGUCUCCUGUAUGUUCACACAAUAGAUAGAUUUCCCAAUUAUUUUAAGAGAGUUUUUCCAAAUCUGGAAAGAAAACGUUUUGUCAAUGUCUUUUUCCCAUUCUUUAAUAGAUUUUGUUUUCACAUUUUGAUUUAGGGAAUAUACGGCUUUCCUAAUAUUAGAAGAUAUCUUUCCAAAAUCUCCUAGAAGGAGCUUAUCUAAAGGUGAUUCAUUUAUUAUUAUCUCUGUAAUUCUCAAUCUUUGCUUUUGUUUUUCCUUAAAUGACCUUAAAUCAAAUGUCCAUCUAUGCAUCCACCCCAUCUCUUAGCCCAUCUGACCCUGAUAUAUCUCUCUCUCCCACAGUCUGAUUUUAAACAUACCCAGUCCAGCAUAGAACUCAGAGCUCCAUCAGCUGUUCCACGGCCAUUUGUAACAGGUAGCCUUCUGGAAGACUACCCUACCCCUCGCCCAUGUCCUCAUUUAUAGAUAGUCUCCCACACAACUUUCAAUCUCCUGAAAUGACAGGUGCAAACACUGAUCAGCACACCCUUCCAAUCUCUUAACCCUAUAGAACACAUACCCUCUCCCCCUUCAAAUAGAUAUAUCACACACCAAUAUUAUAUACUUUUAUUUAAUUUUAGUUUUUCACUAUUUGUGUUUCAUUUUCAACCACACACCUCAUACCACUAACUUGAAUCCAAUUAUAACCAUACUGAUAUUCUUAAUAACCCUUUUCUCAAUCCAAUUUUGUUCACACCGCUACCACCAUAAGCACACACCUCAAACUGGAACACAAAUUAUAAUACACCAUGGCCUGCUCUGUUCCUGUAACUUAUCUGCUAAGUGCUGGUGGAGAGUUAUACAAAAUAGCCCUCCUACCCCCACCUCACAAAAUUAUAAAUUAUCCCAUUCACUAUAGGGCCAAACAAAAAUGAUGUCCAAAUUCCUAUUCCUUAUGUUACUUGUCCUAUCAAAUGAUGUGGAGUCUAACCCUGGUCCCCCAGCUAAUUCUAGUCCUAAUCUCCCCACUAAGAAAGGCCUCUCUUUUGUGCACUGCAACAUCCGUAGUUUACUCCCUAAACUGGAUGCACUGCAAGCCUGGUGUUCCCAUUACAAACCAAAAAUCAUUGUGCUCUCAGAAUCAUGGUUAACGACUAAAAUACCAGACACCGCCAUUGCAAUACAGGGUUAUUCAUGUUUUAGAAAUGACAGAGCAAAGAGAGGAGGAGGCAUUGUUAUUUAUGUUGACAAUUCCAUAAAGUUUACCCCCUUACAAAACCUACCACUUUUGAUUUCCUUUCUGACACAAUUGAGAUCCUGUGCAGUAAAUCAAUCAUUGUUGCAGGAAUCUACCGCCCACCUAGCUCCCCUGUGCAUUCCCUAUCUGACAUAGCCCAUCUCCUUUGUGAAACCAUAGCUCAAAACCCAAAAAGUGAACUGUUGGUCUUUGGAGAUUUGAAUAUUGAUUGGCUGAAUUCUAAAAAUAAUAGUUCUUGCUCGCUGUUUAAGACUUUGCAGCUAACGCAAUUAAUCUCCUCCCCAACUCUCAUAAACAUUAAAAGCAAUAACAAUACCCUGCUCGAUUGGAUUCUCUCCACUUCUCCUGAUAGAAUCCAGGAGGUUGGUGUUCUCCCAAACACUUUCAGUGAUCACUGUUUAGUGUACUGCGUGCGUGAAAUAAAGGCUAUUAAAUCUUAAAUCCUUUCUUAAUGACAUCAAGAACCUCCCAUGGCACAGAUUAAACAUUAUCCCAGAUCUAGACUGUGCUGUUGAAUUCUUUCAGUCUGAACUCCUACAAAUUUGGAAUUUGCAUGCCCCGCUGCGUAAGGUGAGGGUAAAAGGAGCACAUAUGAACUGGAUCACAGCUGACCUCAUCCAAAUGUACCAGUUUUGGUAUUCUUUGUGGUCAAAGUUCAAGUGUACUGGCUCUAUGAAUGAUCAAUGUGCAUAUAGACAAUGGCGAAAUAUAUGCACAAAACAGACAAAACUGGCCAAGGCCCAAUAUUUCUAUGAAAAUCUGAACAGUAACAUCUCAAACCCUAGAAACGUUUGAAAAGUCAUAAAUAAACUACAAACGCCCCCAAUCCACUCCCAACCCUCCACUGUCAAAGUGGGUAACCAAACCCUGCAACUUCCCUUAGCUGUAGCAAAUGCCUUUAACAAUUAUUUUGUCGGAUGCUUUACUGCCCUGAUUGCCAAGCUAAUAAAUGACACGCAUCCUGAAACUACUAAUGUGGAUCAGGUCCCACUAAAUUUGCAAAGGCCCAAUAUAGACAAGUUCAUUUUUAGACCUGUACCUGUUAGUGUCAUUGAAAAACAUCUUAAUAAUCUAAAAAUGAAAAACCAGUCUGGACCUGAUCAAAUCCCAGCAAUGCUGUUGAAGCUCAGUGCGCCGGCAAUUGUUAAACCCGUCACAACCCUAAUUAACGAAUCCUUGGUGUCUCGAUACAUACCCAAACUUUGGAAGACUGCGAGAGUAGUGCCUAUCCAUAAAAGUGUUGACAUUACUUUGGUUUCUAACCAUCGCCCAAUAUCAUUGCUCCCAGUAUUGUCAAAACUCUUAGAAAAAUGUGUCCAUACGCAACUAUGAGUAUUACCAACAAUCAAACUAUCUGACCCCUGAUCAAUCUGUUUUUUGCUAGAAUCACUCCACUACAACCGCCCUCUUAAAAAUUUGCAAUGACAUCCAAACUGGCAUGGAACAAGGAGACCUAACUAGAGCUAUUUUCCUUGAUUUUGCUAAGGCCAGUAAACAGUAAACCACGACAUUCUACUGCACAAACUAAAAAAACUCAGGUAUUGGUGAUUGUCCGCUAACCUGGUUUCGAUCUUAUGUAUUGGAUCGCUCGCAAUAUGUGUCCAUUUCUGACAGCGACUCCCUCCCUCUCUGAGUCACGUGUGGUGUUCCCCAAGGUUUCAUUCUCGGCCCCCUACUAUUUACAUUAUUUAUAAAUGAUCUGCCUAAUGUCUGCAAAUCCUCCGCACCUGUCAUAGUUGAAAUAAAUUUUGUAUAUAUUGUGUAUUAAUAUUGUUUUUGUAUUUUAUUGUACCCUACUGUAUCAAUGCAAG